rnacentral:rRNA from 1 species
GACGAACGCUGGCGGCGUGCCUAAUACAUGCAAGUCGAGCGGAUCUAAAGGAGCUUGCUCCUUUAGAUUAGCGGCGGACGGGUGAGUAACACGUGGGCAACCUGCCCUGCAGAUUGGGAUAACUCCGGGAAACCGGGGCUAAUACCGAAUAAUAUCGAAGAUUUCAUGAUCUUCUUUUGAAAGAUGGCUUCGGCUGUCACUGCAGGAUGGGCCCGCGGCGCAUUAGCUAGUUGGUGAGGUAACGGCUCACCAAGGCGACGAUGCGUAGCCGACCUGAGAGGGUGAUCGGCCACACUGGGACUGAGACACGGCCCAGACUCCUACGGGUGGCAG